UAAUACGUAGGAGGCUAGCGUUGUCCGGAUUUAUUGGGCGUAAAGCGCGCGCAGGCGGCUUACCAAGUCGGUCGUGAAAUCUCUCGGCUCAACCGGGAGGGGUCGGGCGAAACUGGUAGGCUUGAGGAUGGUAGGGGCAAGCGGAAUUCCCGGUGUAGUGGUGGAAUGCGUAGAUAUCGGGAGGAACACCAGUGGCGAAGGCGGCUUGCUGGACCAUUUCUGACGCUGAGGCGCGAAAGCGUGGGGAGCGAUCCGGAUUAGAUACCCGGGUAGUCCACGCCCUAAACGUUGAGGACUAGGUGUCGGGGGUAUCGACCCCUCCGGUGCCGGAGCUAACGCAUUAAGUCCUCCGCCUGGGGACUACGGCCGCAAGGCUA
rnacentral:rRNA from 1 species